GUGUCAGCAGCCGCGGUAAUACGUAGGGGGCGAGCGUUGUCCGAAGUUACUGGGCGUAAAGCGCGCGUAGGCGGCUUCUUAAGUCUGAGGUGAAAGGUUCAACGCUCAACGUGAACAGUGCCUUGGAUACUGGGGAGCUUGAGUAUGGGAGAGGGCAGUGGAAUGGCUGGUGUAGCGGUGAAAUGCGUAGAUAUCAGUCGGAACACCCAUGGCGAAGGCAGCUGCCUGGCCUAAUACUGACGCUGAGGUGCGAAAGCGUGGGGAGCGAACGGGAUUAGAUACCCCGGUAGUCC
rnacentral:rRNA from 1 species